GACAGGGGUGCCAAGCGUUAGGCGGAAUCACUGGGCUUAAAGCGUGUGUAGGCGGAUGUCUAAGUACCUUGUGAAAUCCCACGGCUCAACCGUGGAACUGCUUGGUAUACUGGAUGUCUUGAGCCAUCUAGGGGCUACCGGAACAAAUGGUGGAGCGGUGAAAUGCGUAGAUAUCAUUUGGAACGCCAAUGGUGAAAACAGGUAGCUGGGGAUGUGCUGACGCUGAGACACGAAAGCCAGGGGAGCGAACGGG
rnacentral:rRNA from 1 species